rnacentral:tRNA from 1 species
UGGGUUGUAGCCAAGCGGUAAGGCAUCAGAUUUUGAUUCUGACAUGCGGUGGUUCGAAUCCACCCUACCCAGCCA